GAUUCUAUACACAUAUGAAUCUUCCCCAUAUUCGAAUAUCUGAAUGUCAGACUCAAGCUGAUGAUAUAUGAGGUAUGUGCCAUUCCAUUGGAUUAAUCCCAAUCUCUGCCUAAUUGAACAAAAAGUGUCCUUUAAUUAAUAAAGGUUAUUAAACGUUUUUUAAUUAGGUAUGGUCCUCGCUGUAUCAAUCAAGUCCCAUUGAAAUAUUGAAACGUUGUUCAUACAUCUUUGAAUGACCUUUUAUGUGCUGACAAUAUGUUCUGAAAUGAAGAGAUUUUACCCCUGAUGAAGUCUUGGAACAAGACGAAACGCGUUGGGUUAUUUAUCUAUCUAUUAUCUGAUGUUACCUCCGAAUCUACAAUAAGGAGAAGGAGGAAAUCGUAGUGAUAUAUCUACGCUUUUUCCUCAUCACUACAAACUGAUUGUUCAAAUUGUGCGACAAAUGUAAAUGUAUCAACUCUGUAUACUUAUGAACAUUUGUGUCGGGUUUAUAUGUUGUUUUAAUAAAUUUUUAUGUUAGUA